UGACACCGUCGAUCGGCCGAGAAUCAAGGAAAAGAAAAUGAGAGACGUUAGCAGCUCGGAAGAUGACCUGGACUUGCCUUUUGAGGAGUCGAUGAUUGGUCGGCUGAAUUCCUUGGACAAGUUUGCAAGUGAGGAAUUUCAGAAAUUAAAAGAAAGCAACAAAAGCCUCCGUGAAUCACUAGAUCACCAGAUGAUCAGUGACAUGGCUGCACUUAAGGCCGAGCUCAGCGCCUUAAAAUCACGCGUAGCAGACCAAGGCCAAGAGAUAGAGGAGCUGAGAAAGCGGCUGGAAGGAAAGGGCAGCGGUGCUCCUGCCCCCUCUGAAGGCCAGAAGAGACCAGCUUCCUCGGCCGAGUGUGCUCCUGAACGGAAGCGGAGACGGUCUGAAGAGCUGGACGAGAUCCUGAUGCCAUUCUGGCCAGACAGAUAUGAUGCACGCGAGAAGCUGACUGAAAGGCAGCAGGCCUUCUUCAGCUAUAUGAUGGACGUGCUGAAAAUCAAAGAUCGGAGAAACCUGGAGACGAACGCGGCGGCGGUCCUCAACGAAGGGGUUUCCAGGGGCGUCUGGGAGGAGGACUGGACUCCUGCCGGAAUUAAAACGACAUUUAAGCAGUACCUUGUAGAAAAAAUAAAAAAUCAUAUUACAGAGAGACAAAAGAAACUCUUUCAGAAGAGAGAACUGAAUAGGCUCAGAAAAAUGGUUGGCUAGGAAGAAGAGGGUCUGUUCAGUUGUCUUUAUUUUUAAGUUUUUGUGAAUGUUGUUUAUUGUGUGCAUUGUAGAGUUUUCAUGUCUAAAAAGCGUCACAGCAUAGUAGUAUAGCACAACACAACACAACGCUACACAGUUAUAGCCACGCUAUAUUUUAUUAUUUUAUUUUAUUUUAUUUUAUUUAUUUUAUUUACCUGUGACAUUUUAUUUUAUUUUUGAUGUUCCUUCCAGUCUGUUUUGGUCAUUUCUUUUGAACAUUAAACAGUUUGUGGUGCAAUAUCUGUGUCAAACUGUGUGUGUGUUUUCCCCCAGAUAGCAUUACUGUUCAAUAAUUUGUGCCAUAUACAUAUAGUUUCACUUUUCACUUUCACUUUAAAUGAACUUAAGCAAAUUAGGAGUAGAACAGCAGAAGACUCCACUGGUUUGUCCUGAACGUCGGUGUCUCAAGUUGUCCACCAGAGGGCAGCAGAGGCUUUUUUAAUGUAAAGCCCCCAGGUUCUGUUCUCUGUUAUCGCCUAAAGUUUAACAGGGAUGCAGAUUAUUAAAGUUAUACUCAUCUUUAUGGAUAGACGGGGGGGCCAAGCAACACCCACUGUCCUUCAGUCUAGAACGAAACGCACCUGUGCUUUGCUGUGAGGGGGAAAACAUCAAGUGCUCUUCAGCAGUGCCCACAGGUGUAAGUUUAAGCUAUAUAUUAUAGGGGCCACUGUGGGCUCACACUAAUUCCCAUCCCCCUCUGUGACCGUGUUGUAAAUCAAUCCUGUUGACUUGCGCUGCUGUUCGGUCACUGACACGAUCUUCUGCUGAUCAAGGUAAUAGACAGUUUGCUCAUUUUCCAUAUUCCAAGUGAUGUUUCUCGUUAAGCCUGUCCAUAUGCAUUCCCAUUUUGAUUUAUUUUUAUUUAUUUAUUUUUUUCAAGAAAAUGUACGUUAAUAAUGCGAAUAGCUCAUUAGUGGUACUCACUGCCUUUUGGGCAUUAUACAACGUAAGAAAUCGAAUGAAUUUUUUUUUUUUUUUUUUAUCAUCAUUUUAAUGUGUAACAUUUGAAAAUCAAUUUUGAUUUAGCUCAGGUUAAUACAUUUACCAAUCUUACGGUUUAACAUUGUAAAGCUUCUUUGACACAAUCUGUAUUGUAUAAACGCUAAAGGCGAAUUGACGAAUUCAUGACUGUCUGACUAAACGCAUUGAGAACCAGUUAAAAUAUUGCCUUUAAGAAUUCCUUUUUUUAAUUCAAAAUUUCUCUAUCGAAAAUAUGAAAGUAGACUACUUGAUUGUGGAUAUUAAAAGCAACAGCACUGAAACAACUUUUAUUGUAGCAAACCAUGGUUUGAAAAAGCAAUACAGUGCCAACAGUAAACUGCAUAAAAGACAAUAAUGUGAUUGAUAGAAAGCAAUGCAGUUCAAACAAAGUCUUUUGCAUGGAAUUAGAGGAAACUUUAAAUGUGUGGGAAGCACAUUACAGAAUGUAAUUUGAAAAUUUAAAUUGAGUAGGUUUAUUUUGGUUGUGUGAUAUCAGUGUAGGUAUAGGCUAUAUCAACAUGUUUUAAUGAACUUCAUGCAAGUACCACAAACAUUUUAGUCGUCACAACUCACAAUAAAACUAAAAUUAAUUUACA
ensembl:lncRNA